UACGUAGGGUGCGAGCGUUGUCCGGAAUUACUGGGCGUAAAGAGUUCGCAGGUGGUUUGUCGCGUCGUCUGUGAAAGUCCGGGGCUUAACUCCGGGAGUGCAAGUGAUACUGGCAUAACUUGAGUACUGUAGGGGAGACUGGAAUUCCUGGUGUAGCGGUGAAAUGCGUAGAUAUCAGGAGGAACACCGGUGGCGAAGGCGGGUCUCUGGGCAGUAACUGACGCUGAGGAGCGAAAGCAUGGGGAGCGAACAGG
rnacentral:rRNA from 1 species